UACGUAGGUCCCGAGCGUUGUCCGGAUUUAUUGAGCGUAAAGCGAGCGCAGGUGGUUUAUUAAGUCUGGUGUAAAAGGCAGUGGCUCAACCAUUGUAUGCAUUGGAAACUGGUAGACUUGAGUGCAGGAGAGGAGAGUGGAGUUCCAUGUGUAGCGGUGAAAUGCGUAGAUAUAUGGAGGAACACCGGUGGCGAAAGCGGCUCUCUGGCCUGUAACUGACACUGAGGCUCGAAAGCGUGGGGAGCAAACAGG
rnacentral:rRNA from 1 species